rnacentral:rRNA from 1 species
ACCGCCCGUCACACCACGGGAGUUGGAGACGCCCGAAGCCGAUUAUCUAACCUUUGGAAGAAGUCGUCGAAGGUGGAAUCAAUAACUGGGGUGAAGUCGUAACAAGGUAGCCGUAUCGGAAGGUGCGGCUGGAUCACCUCCUUUCUAAGGAGA